rnacentral:tRNA from 1 species
AGGAUUAUAAUUUAAAUUAAAAUAUUUGAUUUGCAUUCAAAAAAUAUUGUUAUAUACAAUUUAUCUUG